AAUCAAGAGUCAGAAGCUUGACCAAAUGAGCCACCCAGCACAGCGACCACAGCAGCACGGAGGACUGGGCGAGAUGGCAGGAGUGGCAGCCCGUAGCGAACAAACCCCAAGUGGCCAUCCGUGUUGCUUUUGUCCUGACUCCCCACUCGCCUGGCCUGGUACUCACACACCGAUGGGAAGACUCAGAGCGCAAGAACCGGAAGGGAGCCUGGAAAACAGCUCGCCUGCGUGCGGGCGAAAUGCCAGCCCUCGUGUGUCCCGUGCUCCAGGGCACGCGGUCAAUUAGUGACGACAUCGGGACUGGAACUCAGAUCUUGUGAGUCGAGGCCAGGGCUCUUUCCCUAGCAGUAGGCGUGUUUCCUCCGCGUGUCGUCUGUCCCCGCCCCGGAGCUGCAGGAGGACCCUAGAGAGAGCACAUUAGUGCAGGGGCAACGAGGUGGGGAUCCACAAGGGGCAGGCGGACACCUGCCGGUCCUGUAGCCGUGAAGUGCAGCGAAAGGAUAUUGGUCACAUCAUGUUGCUUUCAGAGAGGAGAAAGGAGGCCAGAAAUUUGUGUUUUCAUGUCACUGGCUUGGAACCCACACUGAGUCUUGAAAGCAAACCAA